rnacentral:rRNA from 1 species
UACGGAGGAUGCGAGCGUUAUCCGGAUUUAUUGGGUUUAAAGGGUGCGUAGGCGGACGCUUAAGUCAGCGGUAAAAUUGCGGGGCUCAACCUCGUCGAGCCGUUGAAACUGGGUGCCUUGAAUGGGCGAGAAGUACGCGGAAUGCGUGGUGUAGCGGUGAAAUGCAUAGAUAUCACGCAGGACUCCGAUUGCGAAGGCAGCGUACCGGCGCCCAACUGACGCUGAAGCACGAAGGCGUGGGUAUCGAACAGG